UGCAGUAAAGUGCACUAUUGUCAUGUAUUGGAGAUAAACACAAGAUCCGUAAUUUUUAAUGAGCAAUGUUAUCAUUUUUACCAUGUGCAUGGUAAUUUAAACAACAAAAGCGUAGUAAUAAUGCCCCCAUCAACAUGGCUGUUUUCUCCGUCAGCUUGUGAAAAGUUAACACAAGUGUGGACAGAAAAAGUAUUAUUUUCAGUGUUUUGGGCGUAAUAUUGAACAAAGUUUUGCUUAUUUUUCAUAAUAUUGUACCCAUGUUGCUGUUGAUCUCGAGUUGAUGAUACCAUUCAAUUUCCAGGCCCAAUUAAGUUAUCCAAAUUAUAAUUAAGAUUAAUUUAUACUAUGUUUCUUGAUAACUCGAGCGAUGUGGAGCAUAAGUUGAAUUAGCCGCCAUAAUCGUGGAUCAGAGAUCGGUGUGAAAGCAAAUACGGACAUUAAAUUCAUCACAGGACUCCGCUACAGGCGCCGUCUUCAUAUCUAAGAUUCGCUUUUUAUGGAUUAAAGAACAAUAAAUUAUUAUAGACAU
rnacentral:lncRNA from 1 species